AGAAGGAGGCGAUGCGGGGUUGGCCGUGGGACGCGAGGCCGGGCAGCGACGGAAGCGCGGGGAGCCCGAGGCCGGCGGAGCGCGCGGCCUUCCCGACGUCGCCUGCGAUAGGCGAGGCGACGGCGCCCGUUGCUGGGCAGGCGACGGCGCCCGUUGCUGGGCAGGCGACGGUCGGGGCCAUGGAGAUCGAUGCCUUCGGUCAGUGUACGUCUCGCCACCACCACCACUUGCGCUGCGUUAAGCGCGUUCGUCGGAGGCUAAUAACGGCCGCGAGGUUGGUGGGACGGCGUCCUGCGGGAGGUUAGGGAGCGGCCGGGUUUGGGCGCGCAAAGAUAAAGUGGGGAUGCGUGGGAUGGGCGCCACACGAUUGCGUGCGGAAGAACGAUAAGAUGGGGUUUGGGGUGGGUUCUGUAUGGCCUGGAAGUUUCCGUCUAUUGUAUCGGGAGUUUCUGGUGUUUAUCGUCUGAAGACGACCGAUAGGUGUUCAAGGGAGGCCCUCGAGGCUUCAACCAUUAGAUAACGGGGUUAGAGCAUCUAUAACCGGAUAUUUUUAAAGAAAAGCAAUAACAAUCAGAUUACUGCUAGGUUUCUUUCUGUCAGACUAGUCGACCGUUGUAGGAUUAAAAUCACGCCGACCAUGUGAUCUAAUAAGAAGGAGGCUGAGCGUUGGGUAGUUACUUGUCUGCGCUAAUUACGUGAUUCCGGUAACUGACCCCGGUAGCGUAUCUUCCCUGACAUAUUUGUCCUAUGUUAAUAGAUUCAUUUCUUAUCCAAGUAGCAUGACAUUUAUUUUUACGUGGUAGCAAGCAUGGUGCAUGAUAUUUCGUAUCCUCUACACUAAUAUUUGCUUUCAUAUAAAAGGAACUCCUGGUAAUAACAUAUUUUGCGUCAAGAACAUUCUUAUCAUUUUUUUUCAUUGGCUAGAAUUGCAUCCAAGCAAACUAUGGUUUGCCUUCAUCGCAAUAGAAAAAUAUUUUCACUUGUUUCAUAAGCGGCAAUCUCUUGCUUCCAUCGAUUAUAAAAUUGCUUCCAUCCAAAUAAUAAUUUGUGGUGCAAACGGAAUGAUCUUUUCAUACAAAUGAAUUAUUUUUCCUUGCAAAGAAACACGUGGAAGCACAACAUGAAUGAUGAAGCAUUGAACAUAUUAAUCCAGUCUCAACAAAGAUUUAAAAAUCUAUUUUCCAACAAGAGUAAAAUACUAUUACAACACUAUUUUUAUUUCGUCAUGAUCGACAUAACGGCAGGCGCUAGACAGUCUUAUCAUGACAAGAUCCAUGUGCCAUGAGUUGUACAUAUAACCGACAACUUAGAAUAGUGCCUUGUUGUUCUUGCACUCAACUCAUUACAUAUAAUCGGGAAUCUGUAUAACUGAAGCAUUCUGUGAGAAAGAAGGGAGCACACAAGUCAUUGACUCAUACAAAAAUUCACUAGAAGAAGCAAAAUAGUUGUAUAAUAAAAUGCACAAACAGAAGCAGUACUAGUAAUGGUUGAAUCAGAAAGUAAUAGUGAUUGAAGCAUACAUUAAUCUGAUGAUGAUUGAAGAAAAUGUCUAUUCAAUAGAAGUAGCACACUGUUACAAUGGUUGAAGCCAAAAAAAUCAUUACCAUAGAGUCAUUACCAAUUUUCUUUUGCCAGUGAAAGCAAUCUUCUAUCUCAAAAGAAGCAAAAAAUAUCUAUGUGUGGAUGCAUUAUGGUAAGAAGCACAAAAAGAGUAAACUUGAAUCAUAAGUUCAUAACUACGAUUACUUGGAACCUUGAAAAGAUAAAAAAGGAACAAGCUAAAAAUGCCACCUAGGGAGGCAUAUUUGAGUCAUGUACUUACAAAUUUCAAAGAAAUUGGACUAGUCUUUUAGUGAUUAAUAAUUAAAGUUAUAAUAUAGAGGAGAUAUAACACAGAUCUCACGAAAAAAUGUGCUAGGAGUCACUAGUAAUACAGGAAUUAAAAGGCAUCAAAAUACACUACAAGAAAUAUGAUCGAUAAUGACCCACCAUUUUGGUCAAAGAAUCGUCAUUGGUAUCAUGUUACGACCUUUUUUUGACCAAAUUUAGAGGGUCAACUGUUGGUCGUCAAGAACGAACAACCAUGACCUUUUCAGUAUUUUGGUCAAGUAUUCUUUGACCAAAAAACUUAGGUCAUAAAAUCUUUGACCAUUUUUUUGGUCAUUACAUGUGUACCUGAACCACGUAGGAGAUGACAUGGCAUCAACCACGUGGCUAAGCUGAUGUUGUGGCAGAUCACCAAUGACUGAAAAAUAAGGUCACAAUUUUACUAGCCCAAUCCAAAUCGGACACCUAAAUGGGCCAGGCCCAACAAUUAAGAUCAAUAUUUGAUAUUUCAGCCCAUUACUAUUUUUAUCUAGGACCAGGCCUUAUUUUUACACAAUUUGCAUACACUAUGCAUCGUAGAUAAUUCCGACGAAAAAAAAUUAUGUUAAGUAGUCCCGAUCAUUUAAGCAAUAAGCAUCAUUGCAGAAACUUUACAAACAUGCACCACAUAAAAUAGUUCGGCCUUCAACUCCACUACAAAUCCAGUUACAAUGAAGCUUCAUCAUUGUUACAACUCCAUUCCUAGAACCUAGUAACUAUUACUAAAAUGAGCACAUAAAGAGAAUGAAAGGUGCAAUGAAGCUUCAUCUCAGUCAAACAUGUUACAAUGACUAACAGUUAACUGGUCCUACAUUACAUUGUGAAAUGAGCACAAUAUGUGAUUUGACUUGUAACUAUAUUCAUGUGUGUAUACUAAGUGUAGGUGAUACAAUUAAAGCCCCAGCUGCCAUAUCUUCUUUACUGCUCCGGAGGAACGAAGGAACAUGUGUAGCAGUCUCCAUUAUCUUCCCAGGCCAGGCCGAUAAAUUUCUGAGAUGGAGAUAAGGCAAAAAAACUGUUAUCACGGGUCAGGAAUUAUGUUCAGUAUCUCCUGCAAAGCAUCCCAACAGGGUUGAUAAAAUAUAUGUAAAAGUGAUCCUCAAUGUCUAUUUCUCAAACAGAAAGUACUACAGGAUCAAGAUUUAAUUAGACAUGGACAAAACGCUUUAGAAGCCUAUGUUCUUCAUAUGAGAGAACAUCAGAUGCUACUUCCAGCUCUUCAAAAUCACUGAAACUGGGCACAGUAAGAUGAUUUAAGUUGUACUGUUCUGGACUCGUGAGCCAAAGGGACCGAUCAACUCAACUAGACACCACAGUAAACUUGCAUUGUUACCCCUAUAUGGUUUCCUGCAGUUCUUCCACAUGACAUAAUUUUCAGCAUUAUGUUGUUUAAAUGACCCAAUAGCUAUCUAUAUGCAGAGCUCUAAUUUCUUCUUCUGCCAUCUUUUUAACCCAACAUUCUAUGAAGGACCUGAUAUUAAAAUUAAAAUAUUAGCCAAAGAACAGUUUUGUGUUUCUCCCCUUGCCACUCUUGUAUCAUAUAAAGCCUGAACUUCUUGAAGUAUUACGUUUGAUUGUCACAUUUAUACGAGAAAACAACUAAAACAGGUAGUGAUACAACUUUGAUCACGGCAAAAAAAAGUGUAAAACAUCUAAACUUAACUUAGAAACGAUUAGGGAAGCAUGAAAAUUCUGAAUACCUUUGAACUGAAGGAACCAUUUUCUUUGGGGACGCCCUGGAAUAUGCUUUAUGUAUCCUGCACAUUUCAUAGGCAAUGAGUUGAGCAAGCACAGGGAAAAAUAUAUAACUACUUCAAGAAAAUGUCUAGCCAUCUCCUGGUAGUUUUGCAAAGGCGCAAAACCAAAGCAGUGACAUGAUCAAUCAAGCAAGCAAAUGCAAGCAGUGGACUAAGGUUACAUACAGAUAGGACGUGGAUACUCGCUAAACAAACACUUGGCUUAACCCGUGAAGCUAUAAUUUAACUAAUGGAAUGGCAUUAGUAAGCAUCUGGUUUUUGUAGUUUAGGUGGCUCCAUAUAUUCAGUAUUUCACAGACUGCAUUUCAAUACCGCACCUACUAAGCUGAACUUUUUUUAAAAUGUCUACGGGUGGCGACUGCCCGCCUGAACGAUUUCCAUUAAAUUGCUUACACGAUCAAUAAUUUCUUUACAGGGAGUUUUACACAGAGGGGGGUAACCCUAUGGGAAAAACACACAAAGAAAAUAAGCUACAGCAAUGUGGAGAAGUUUUUGACCCAGGCCUGGAGAAUUGUUUUACAAAUGGAUCGGGAGCAGCGGCACCUCCCAUUAUUGAUGGGGUUUGUUGCCGUGUGCUUACAGAGAACUUGAGAAUUGACAGGUAGUAGUCAUUAAUCUCAUCAUAUGAUCUAAUUUCUAAGGAACUAAAUAAACCAGUAUACAAAAUUCAAAAACAGCUACACUAGCAGAAACAUACUAAAGGACCUAAAACUAGAGCAGAUCAAAUGAAUGACCGAACAGAACAGCAUAACAAGUCAGUAAGACACAGCCUUUCUGGAUGCUAGGUUUUGGACGAUACGGAACAUUAUUUGUAAUCGUGGGCACUGUUUUCCUACCAGCUGCCCGACUUGCAAAACCAACGAGGCAAGGGAAGAUGGUUGGCACAGAUCAGGUCCUACCGCUUAUACAAUGGGUUGAAAGCCUUGAUAAGUUUUAGUGGGCUUUGCACUGAACGCGCAUAAGGUCCAAGUAUCAGUGUGAAUCAAACUAUUCUCUAGCACAUAUAAACCUUUAGGAGUAUAUAUUAUUAUAUGUUUCAAAAGGGAUAGAAAACUCCAGGAAUAGUCCUAAAAAAAUUUGCAUUCAAAAUGCAUAGUUGGAUUCACAUUUUGAUUUAUUGUAAUGACUAUGGUAAGUCUGUUACUACAAAUAAGUGUAUAUGAGAAAUUAGAUAGAUGAGCAAAUUGAUACAAGUGAUGUGCAAAAUAUGUCUUCAUUAUUUCAAUACUUAAAUAACUUUAUACCUUUGAAAACUAUAUCUACGGUGCCGUGAUAGUGCUGUGCAAAUGAUUAAAUUAAGAAUUGAUUACCCAGUUGUGCAGUCAUUGCUCUGUUCUUCUAUAAAGUAACCACAAUGAGCGGCAUCCAGAAUCUUGUUCUUUGCUUGAGAUCUGCUGCAACACAUGAACAUCAGUAUUAAACCACAGAAUUAGAACGAUUAAUAAUUGUACAAAUACUGGAAGAUUCUGAUCGGCCGGCAACCUUCACCUGACGACACAGAACAGAACCGAUCCGCCGCUGAUCUCCGGCGUGCAUAACACAUGACAUCCGGACCUCCUCCUUAUGAAAGCUCUUGCGGUUCAUCUGCACAUGUCUGGUAGUCAGACGAGAAGGCGGCGCCUGCUGCGUGCGUGAUGGAGAAUUGGGAUGGAUGUGUUUGUUUCUUAUUCCUGCGAGUCAACGCGUGAGUUACGGGCUUACGGCGAUGGAAACCAGGAUAACUCCUACUACUACGACAAUGCAUAUAUCUCCUACUACUCACUACGGGAAUCAGGUAAUUUGCCGUCUUUGAAGAUCUUUGCCGUCAGCUUUUCAUCGUGGAUGACAGCAAAGACCAUUUUUGCCGUCUAUAAUAAAAAACUGUUGACGUCAAAGAAUGACUGAUGGUAAAGACAUAUUUUGCCGUCUGUAGUAAAAAUUGCUGACGGCAAAGGAAUAUUUUGCUGUCUGUAAUAGAAAUAGAUGACGGCAAAAAUAUUUUGCCGUCUGUGAUAAAAACAGAUGACGGCAAAGACAGAUUUUGUCGUCUGUAAUAGAAACAGAUGACGGCAAAGACAGAUUUUGCCAUCUGUGAUCAAAAGAGAUGACGGCAAAGACAGAUUUUGCCGUCUGUAAUAGAAACAGAUGACGGCAAAGGCAAAUUUUGCCGUCUGUACUAAAAACUGAUGACGGCAAAGAAGAAGCACACCACACGGAUUCCUCUCGUGGAUCGAUGACAUGGCAUCAUCCACACCGCACACACAUUCCCACAGCACCACCAUAUGGAUCCCCACCCCACCAGCCCACCCACCCACAUCCCCACCCCACCUCAUGUCUCCAUCAACCACCCCACCGACCCACCCCACCUCACGUCUUCCCUCACGCACGAAUGAUGUGGAUCUAGAUCGAUCUCUUCCCCCCACCCCACCACGCUCCCUCCACCUCACGUCUACGGCGACCUGGACUCUCGUCGCCGCCACCCCCGCGCCGACCACCCACCACCCGUACCUCCGACGCCCACCGCCCCCUCCCUCUGGUGCCCGACCACCCACCUCUACCACCGACGCACCACCACCCACGCUCCUGAUCAGGUCGCCGGCGGCGGCGCCCCCACCCCUUGCGCCCACCACCCUGGCAGCGGCAAGCGAGGCCGACGGAUGGUGCGGGAGGCCGGCGCUGACAGGCCGGAUUGCUGGUGCGCGGGCUGGUGACUGGCGCACACAGGGAGACAUGGCUGGGGGCGAUGGCAUGCGGGCCGCCUGGCACCUCCCACCUCCGGCGUGCUCGUCACAUCGCCCGCCUCGACGCGUCGCCGGCAUCCGUCUCCUUUGGUCUCCUCUUCCUCACUAUCUCCCUUCUCUCGAUCUGCAGGACUCCUCCUCGGCUGCUCUCCUCUGCAGGCGGCGGACAUGGGUUGACGGAGUGGGCAAGGUCCAAUGGAUCCGGGAUUCCGCGACCAGAUCCAACGGCCGCCGCUGCACUUCCCCACCGGUCGCCCCCACCGGCCGCCGCCACGGGCGAGGGUGGUGGCCAGGUGGGCCAGCGGCUCAAGCGGGCGUUUCGUGCUUGCGAGCAUGGCUCGGGGAGCUGGGUCAGGUGGCCAUGGAUCCUCCUCCUUCCUGCCGGGGCACCUCCCAUCCUUCCUGCCGGGGUACCUCCACUCCUCCGUCCACCUCGUCGGCCCCUUGUGUGCUAGCGGCACAGAACUCGCCUCCCCGGUCGCGCAGAACCCUCCACUUCCGGCGGCGAGUGUGUUAUUGUUCUUCUGUGUGAAAUAAUGAGCGACAAUGGAUGUUGAAAUAUACUAGUAGUAUUUUGUUUCUUGCAUCAGUGAGCGAUGGAUGUAAUGUGUAAAUCUGGCUCUCUCUUGUAAUAUUUGUUCGUUCUUAAUACUAUUGGUUGUGAAAUCUCAAUGGAAGAUUUUGUCUACGCCUUCGACCAUUUACUCAUGCCUCUCUCGUGGAUUGUUAUUUAUAUUUCUUAAGUAAACAAACAAAAUUGCCGUCUAGUAUUAGCAACAGAUGACGGCAAACAUUUUUUUUUGCCGUCUGGCAUUUUGGUCCGGCUGACGGCAAAAAAUUGACGCCGUCCGUUAGUGGGAGGUUCUGUCAGAGUGCUUUUUUUGCCGUCUAUCUUAUAAUAGAUGACGGCAAAGCGUUUGUACUAACGGCAAUAAUUUUGCCGUCUUCCGGAACAAAUGCUGACAGUAAAAAUUUCCUUUGCGGGCACAUGGGCUGACGACAUUGUUUGCCGUCAUGGGCUGACGGCAAAAUUGUUGCCGUCUGUAAUUCUUUCUUUGCCGUAUGUACACUCGUGAUGGCAAAAUGCCCGAUUCCUGUAGUGACUUGAGCAAUGGGCCAGUACUGCAGUCGUAAAUCAUAGGCCUCCGACCAACAAAAAUCAUAGGCCUAAUACAAAGAAAUACUACAUACAUACUUGGGGAGGACGGAGUGGCUAACAAAAAACAAAAGCAAUUAAAUACAUGCACAACAUCGAUCCAGCCUGGACAACAGUCAAUGUAAAAGGAAGGAGUAAUCAACAAUUCAACGAGAUUUUGAGUGGCCUAAUGGAGACAGAGGACAGGGAGAGGGAACAUGGAAAUUACCAGCUUGUUGACGUAGCAUUCUGGGGAGGAGGAGCACUCGGGGCGGGGUUAACAGGCCUGGCACUACUAGCAUGGAGGAACGGAUCUUGGCCUGGCCAACAAUGGAGAAGAGAGGGAGAAAUCGCUGGGAGAGAGCGCCAGAUCUGGCGGUCCCGGGCAAACACGACACUGAGUCCACCCAGAUCUUGGAGAUGCUAAAGGCGGCGGCGACAUCGGUGACAUGCUGCAUCGACCGGGAGGUCUUGUAAGAGAAUUUGGUGAGGAAGAGAUGUUGGAUGUUGGGGACGAGACCAGCCAGAUCUGGCGUUGUCCCAACGGCACAAGCACCGACGCCAUCUUUUGGAGGCACAGGUGGCGGCGUCCUUAAUGACGCGAGCAUCGGAGGUAUCGCAGGCGGCGGCUUCUCCUCGACGGCACGACUAGCGGGUGAUUCCUCCUCUACGAGAUGGUGGGUGUUGGAGCGGUGUUUGGGACGGAGAUCCUGGGGUUUGGCGAUUUGGGGGUGAAUCAGAAGAAUUGGCGGCGCUACACAAAUGGAUAGGAUUACUAAGCUUGUCCACUGGGGAUUUUUUACCAAAAUACCCUUAAUGUGGGGAGGUGUCCUUUUGUGCGACGAGGACAAAUGAGACAAUGCCACUCAAAACUGUGUGAGCGCCAAAAAUUGGUGUGCGUUCGCGGGCAAGCUCGGGGGGUGUUAGCGCUAUGAAAAUUUUGAACUUUUUUUAGUUGAAAUUUUGGCGAACAACGAAAUAUGGGUUUAUACGCAUUCAAAUUGAAAAGAUAAAUCAAAAACUUGUCAAAUAUUUUUGAAACGUUUGGCUAGGUAAAAGCACAUAUGCCGUAUUCCGAGCAAAAAACAAAAGAAUCAAUACUAUAUAAAUUCCACUAUCCAUUGCCAUAUAGUUGCACUUUUGUUUAUUUUUUUUCUCAAAAUAAGACAUAGCUCAUUUCAUCCGGAAACUUUAUACGUGAGUACUAUGAUAGCUAUGUUUGUCGCCAAAAAAAUCAUUCUUUUAUUUAAAUUUUUACCCAUUAUGCUUAAUCGAGUACGCCUACACCCAUAUUCCAAAAAAUCCGCAUCGAAAGUUUCAACAUUAUUAACAAGUAUCUCAACUAAGUCCUUCGCAAAAAGUUUUUCCAAUCUAAAAUAUGUAAUUCAUCUUAUUAUACAUUGUCGAAAAUGUUUAAAAAAAAUAUUGAUAUACAUUUUACCAAACUUUAUAAAAAUAUGAAAUAUUAGAUUGAAUCAAUAUCAUAUGACUCGUUCAGAUCUAAAUUACCAUCGAGUCGUUGGGACCUUUUAGCAAGUCUCACAUAAAAGGUGGGUUAGCAGGUCAAUAGGUUAGACGGUCCCACAUUUAAAAUUUGUUAGUGUAUCCACUUGGAUCAUCAAGUCAAUAUGUCGGUCCCGUUAUUCACGUAGUUCCAGUCAGCUCCAUUCAUGUAUAUGAACAUAUCAAUUGGUCAUCUGAACUUCAAAUAAAGGUAUGCACAAUGGUACUUAUUUUAAUGACCAUUUCAGAUGAUUGAGUAUUGACCUUUUUGACAUAGAUGGUCGUUACAUUAUAGGGUUUGAACAUAGAAAAACUCUCCCUAGCCAUUUUGUGAAUUUUGGUCAUAGAUUUAUGACCAAUUUGACCACCGUCAAUUUUUUUGUCAUGAAUGAGUGUUUUCCUUGUAGUGAUAGGAUGAUACAAACGCUAUCAGACAAGGAUGGGUGGGGAAUCCCGUGGAACUACACUCGUGUCGGCCUCAUUCCCCAACCGAGAUGAUGCUUCGGCAAGGUGGAUCACAGGCCAAAACUACAGCUGAAGGGUGAUACGUCUCCAACGUAUCUAUAAUUUUUUAUGGUUCCAUGCUAUUAUCUUGUCAAACUUUGGAUGUUUUGUAUGCCUUUUAUAUCAUUUUUGGGACUAACUUAUUAACUCAGUGCCAAGUGCCAGUUCCUGUUUUUUCCAUGUUUUUGACCCUUUUCAGAGGAGGAUUUUAAACGGUGUCCAAACGGAAUAAAACUUCCGAAAAGAUUUUUUCCGGAAUAGAAGAUAUGCACGGGACUUGAGAACCAAGGCAGAGGCCACCAGGGGACUCCACAAGCCCCCUAGGAGAGGCCAGGGGGGCCCGCGCCUAGCAGGCUUGUGGGCCCCCUGUGGCUCGUCUGCCCUACCUCUUCCGCCUAAAAAUUCUUGAAAAAUCCAAAACUGUGCGAGAGAUCCACGAAAAUACUUUUCCGCCGCCGCAAGCUUCUGUCUCCGC
rnacentral:lncRNA from 1 species